rnacentral:rRNA from 1 species
UCAGACGAUGCGUCAUGCAUAUCAAUAAGCGGAGGAAAAGAAACUAACAAGGAUUCCCUUAGUAACGGCGAGUGAAGCGGGAAGAGCUCAAAUUUGAAAUCUUAAAGGGUUUCCCUUUACGAAUUGUAGUUUAAAGAAGUGUUUUCUGUUAGAGCUUCGGUAAAAGUUCUUUGGAAUAGGACAUCAUAGAGGGUGAGAAUCCCGUAUUUGACCGUUAUUUCUAGCUUUGUGAUACACUUUCAAAGAGUCGGAUUGUUUGGGAAUGCAGUCCAAAAUGGGUGGUAAAUUUCAUCUAAAGCUAAAUAUUGGCGAGAGACCGAUAGCGAACAAGUACCGUGAGGGAAAGAUGAAAAGAACUUUGAAAAGAGAGUUAAACAGUACGUGAAAUUGUCAAAAGGGAAGCGUUUGACACCAGUGUUGUUUUCUCGAAAGUCAAUUAAAAAAGGCAGGAUUUUGUGUUGUAUUGACUUUAUCAGCUUUCUGCACUCUUUUCUUGUCUUUUUUUAAUGCACUUUUCGUUUAACAAGUCAACAUCAAUUUCUUUUGUUGUAAAAGGGUCAUUGGAAGGUGGCUUUCUUUUCGGAGAAAGUGUUUAUAGCCUUUGGCCUCUGCAAUCGGAGAGAUUGAGGUCUGCAGCGUAGAUCCUUCGGGGUUAGAUACAUUUGUGCUAAGUUAUAGCCUUUCAUAGACAACUUGUUGACUAUGAUCAGUCAUGUAGCUUACUCGCUUAUGCUAUUUUACCUACGCUUAGGAUGUUGAUCUACAGAGCGAGAGU